CCCGCACAAGCAGCGGAGCAUGUGGUUUAAUUCGACGCAACGCGAAGAACCUUACCAGGUCUUGACAUCCAGUAAAAUCUGUGGAAACGCAGUGUGCUUUCGGGCGUACUGAGACAGGUGGUGCAUGGUUGUCGUCAGCUCGUGUCGUGAGAUGUUGGGUUAAGUCCCGCAACGAGCGCAACCCUUGUUGAUAGUUACUAACGCGUAGAGGCGAGGACUCUAUCAAGACUGCCGGGGACAACUCGGAGGAAGGUGGGAUGACGUCAAAUCAUCAUGCCCCUUAUGACCUGGGCUACACACGUGCUACAAUGGCCGAUACAGAGAGGAGCAAACCCGCAAGGGGGAGCGGAUCUCAAAAAAGCGGUCACAGUUCGGAUUGUGGGCUGCAACCCGCCCACAUGAAGUUGGAAUCGCUAGUAAUGGCAGAUCAGCAUGCUGCCGUGAAUACGUUCCCGGGUCUU
rnacentral:rRNA from 1 species